GACGAACGCUGGCGGCGUGCUUAACACAUGCAAGUCGAACGGAAAGGCCCUGCUUUUGUGGGGUGCUCGAGUGGCGAACGGGUGAGUAACACGUGAGUAACCUGCCCUUGACUUUGGGAUAACUUCAGGAAACUGGGGCUAAUACCGGAUAGGAGCUCCUGCUGCAUGGUGGGGGUUGGAAAGUUUCGGCGGUUGGGGAUGGACUCGCGGCUUAUCAGCUUGUUGGUGGGGUAGUGGCUUACCAAGGCUUUGACGGGUAGCCGGCCUGAGAGGGUGACCGGCCACAUUGGGACUGAGGUACGGCCCAGACUCCUACGGGAGGCAGCAGUGGGGAAUAUUGCACAAUGGGCGGAAGCCUGAUGCAGCAACGCCGCGUGCGGGAUGACGGCCUUCGGGUUGUAAACCGCUUUCGCCUGUGACGAAGCGUGAGGGACGGUAAUGGGUAAAGAAGCACCGGCUAACUACGUG
rnacentral:rRNA from 1 species